GCAAUUGAUUUAUUUAAAAUAUUACAACCUUGCCAAGGUUGGGGUCGCGAGUUCGAGUCUCGUUUCCCGCUCCA
rnacentral:tRNA from 1 species